rnacentral:lncRNA from 1 species
CUCAUUCCAGCCACUGAGGAGGAGAAAAGGGCUGGGUGGAGGCACUCUCCUUACCUGUCAAGGCAUAACCAGCAAUUGCCAUUAUCACUUCCACUCACGCUCCAUUGGGCAGACCUAGUCACGUGGUCAGACUGCGCCAGGUAGGAAGCUGGGAAACGUCUUGAGUGCAGUCAAGCAUAGGCUCACCUAAAAUUGCUGACACUGUAGAGUGACGGGAGAGUGGAGGCUGCUGACAGCCUGCAUCUCUGCUGCAUGCCCACGUCAGCCUCUGAAAUGUCUGAGUGAGGAAAUGCACUUAAAGCUGUCAAUUACCCCAUGUACUGCUUUACACAUCCUACAAGUUAAUCUGAGGUACUUUCAUUGUCCCUCACUCGAAAUAUUUUCUAAUUUUCAUUGUAAUGUUCUCUUC